GACGGAGGGUGCUAGCGUUGUUCGGAAUGACUGGGCGUAAAGGGCGCGUAGGCGGCUCGUGAAGUCGGGUGUGAAAGCCCGGGGCUCAACCCCGGAACGGCAUCCGAUACUGGCGGGCUUGAGACCGGGAGAGGAGGGUGGAAUACCCAGUGUAGAGGUGAAAUUCGUAGAUAUUGGGUGGAACACCGGUGGCGAAAGCGGCUCUCUGGCCCGGAUCUGACGCUGAGGCGCGAAAGCGUGGGGAGCAAACGGG
rnacentral:rRNA from 1 species